rnacentral:rRNA from 1 species
AAUGAACGCUGGCGGCAGGCCUAACACAUGCAAGUCGAGCGGUAGAGAGAAGCUUGCUUCUCUUGAGAGCGGCGGACGGGUGAGUAAAGCCUAGGAAUCUGCCUGGUAGUGGGGGAUAACGUUCGGAAACGGACGCUAAUACCGCAUGCGUCCUACGGGAGAAAGCAGGGGAUCUUCGGGCCUUGCGCUAUCAGAUGAGCCUAGGUCGGAUUAGCUAGUUGGUGAGGUAAUGGCUCACCAAGGCGACGAUCCGUAACUGGUCUGGGAGGAUGGUCAGUCACACUGGAACUGAGACACGGUCUAGACUCCUACGGGAGGCAGCAGUGGGGAAUAUUGGACAAUGGGCGAAAGCCUGAUCCAGCCAUGCCGCGUGUGUGAAGAAGGUCUUCGGAUUGUAAAGCACUUUAAGUUGGGAGGAAGGGCAUUAACCUAAUACGUUAGUGUUUUGACGUUACCGACAGAAUAAGCACCGGCUAACUCUGUGCCAGCCGCCGCCGUAA